UACGUAGGGUGCAAGCGUUGUCCGGAAUUAUUGGGCGUAAAGAGCUCGUAGGCGGUCUGUCGCGUCUGCUGUGAAAACUCAGGGCUUAACCCUGAGCUUGCAGUGGGUACGGGCAGACUAGAGUGCGGUAGGGGAGACUGGAAUUCCUGGUGUAGCGGUGAAAUGCGCAGAUAUCAGGAGGAACACCUGAGGCGAAGGCGGGUUGCUAGGCUGACACGUGACGCUGAGUGCGCGAAAGCCAGGGGAGCAAACGGG
rnacentral:rRNA from 1 species